CUUAUAUUUUAUAUGAAAUUAAACUCAGAACGGUUUAUGGCGUUGAUCCAAAGGCCGCAAUUUAUAAAUGCAUCACAAUUUAAAGUCAAUCAAGAACAGAACAUUCCGUGUAUGGCCAUGACUAAAACUGCUUGCAUUUUGUUGGUCUUCCCUUCCCGAUGGUCUGGCUUGUCGUAAUAGCUUUAAUGAUGUAGCUAGGGAGCUAAAUACUUAUUUUUAAAUUCUUGCAUUUUAUAAGUUAAUAGUCGUAAAACUACUCUCACUUGUACUACAGCUAUCAAGCUAGAACUGCACAAAAUAGUGCUUUCAUUAGAGUCCCUUUUUUCAGAAGCAACAAAAAACUUUUAUCCUGCCCUGUGUAAUUUUAUCAACGAGGGUGCUGAUAAGCCACAUACACCGUAAAAAGUAUAGGCGUUUUGGGUGAGUAAAAUAACUUCUAAAGGAACCUUUGUGAGGCUGCUAUCAUGUAUUCUUGCGGUCAGAAUGUUCUCCUUCGUUGCUAUCCGAUGGAGAACAAAGUGGACUUUUCACGGUCAAACCUUCAAAGUAGCAACCUUACUUAAACAGAAUUUACAAGUAAAACGUCGUUAAAAUGUCACAAAAUGGCAAAAAUUAAGCAGUAUCUAAAACAUAUUAAAGAUUUGACUAAAAAAAAAAGAAUUUCUUGCCACAAAAACAUUAAUUACGGCAUUUGUACCCCAUUUCAUAAUGGCUGCCCGUGAUUGGUUGACACGAAUCCGACCGCAAGAAUAUAUAUAAAAAGAUAUUUGUUGAAUCAUGAAAAAAUAUUGUUGUUCAUUGCACGGAACAGUCAAGUUGAACUGAUAAAUUAACCAAUAACAUAACAUAGUUAGCCCUUGCAGUACAACUAGACGCUACCCACAGUAUGUUACAGGUUUCUUUGUUUUCUUCCCUUUUUUAUGUUUUUUCUUGAAAUUAUAAAUGAUGUUGUUGAUUUAUCAAAUCUGACAAAUUUAUUAAUUGAGUGUCUACCCUUUUUUGUAUCAACUUGUUCAAUUCAAUUCUAAAACAAUGACCAAUCAAUUUCCUCGAUAAUAAACAAUCAAAUUUGUAAAAUUCAAUAAAUCGAUUUCAACAAAAUAAGUCCUGUAUUGUCCACAGGUUUGAAAAUCUUGUAUCGCCUGCUUAAUAUUAUACUUGUUUAACAAUGAUAUCAAAGCCAGCUUGACUAAAUUUAUAUAUAUAUUUUUAUUUAUAUAGUAUACCUUUUGUGUAUCACAUGGCAUUGAUUUGUAUCUUUUUAAUAAAUUCUAACUUUAAAUCAGAUAAGUAGACAAUAAUUAAACAACCUAGUAUUAAUUCAGUUCUGGUAAAAUUGUAUUCUUCUUUCUCAAUUUUAAAUAUACUUUCUUUUUCAGAUCAUUUGUUAUGAAACCAUGCACCAUCAGCAGUUUCGAAAAAUCUUCAACGAGAGAAAUUUUUAAGGAUUUUAUUGGUAACUUAACAGAGUAAUAAUUCAUUGAAAUUGAAAUUGUUCAGAAGUUAUUAUAUAUAUUCGAAUCGUGAAGUUCAUACAUAGCAUCAGUUUAAAAAAAUCCAGUUAAAGUUUUAACUAUUGUUUUAGAAUAUAUACUAUAUAUAUGUAAAAAAAAAUUAUUUUUUAUUUAUCAAGUUGUAUUUUACGCAAUAAUAAUUGAGAAUUAGGAUACUUAUGAUGUGUUUAUAUACCCCAUUGUUCUCCGUUUUAAAGUCUACUUCAAAUUUCAGAAUCUUUUAGGCUAAUGACGGAAAUCUUCAAGUCGCAGGGCUUCUUAUUUAAAAAUUUUCCCCUGGGCAAUAAGCUUAUUCACAAGCCUCUAUGCAAUUCCGUACUGCAUUUCUAUCAUAUUCGUCAUAUUUGGCGGAAAAUGUUUCAGCAGAAUAGCUUUCAGACACAAUUUGUUAUUACAGCACAAGAAUUUUUGGAGAUUUGAUAAGUCAAAAAUGUAUGCGUAAGUCUUUUGAACGAAUUUUAACCAAAAAUCAAAAGCAAUGAUUACGUGAAAUUACACAACAAGAAGGCUAGAGGCGUUUAAAGUGUACAUAUAUUUAAUCAAGAUCUAACUUUAUAGAUAGAGCCUUAGCCAAAUGUGAAAAUAACGAAAAUAAUAAGUUCUAACACUGCAGUUUUUAUAAAUUUCAAACGUCCACCAUUUUCCAUUUUAAUUUUAAAUCCCGUUCUAAAUUUGAAUGUUUGAAAUCGUUAUUUGUAAUUCGGGGCGCAUUAGUGGUAACUAUGGCUAGUUUUAUGUAUGGGAGAAGUUUUUUUCUUACUCUCAACUUCGCGGGGGAACUUCGGCUCGAACAUCCAACCUAGGUUUGAUAUAACACAACCUGUGUGUUUGGUACCAUCAAGACAAAAAUAACACUGAUCGAGCAAAACUUAUCUUGUCUCGGUUUCUUUGUUGUCUCUGAAGAUUUGACUGCCAUAAAAAAUAUUAAUCGAGAUUCUUUUGUUAUGUUAAUUUAAAGCUUUGUAAUAUUGUCUCGUUUAAUAUGCUUAAAUGUCACUGCAGCCCACGUGAAUUUAUCUUCAAGAAAAGGUUUGUUUUUCUUUGUCCGAGUUGUUUCGAAACUUGUUAACAAUCAUUUGUUAUGAAACCAUGCACCAUCAGCAGUUUCGAAAAAUCUUCAACGAGAGAAAUUUUUAAGGAUUUUAUUGGUAACUUAACAGAGUAAUAAUUCAUUGAAAUUGAAAUUGUUCAGAAGUUAUUAUAUAUAUUCGAAUCGUGAAGUUCAUACAUAGCAUCAGUUUAAAAAAAUCCAGUUAAAGUUUUAACUAUUGUUUUAGAAUAUAUACUAUAUAUAUGUAAAAAAAAAUUAUUUUUUAUUUAUCAAGUUGUAUUUUACGCAAUAAUAAUUGAGAAUUAGGAUACUUAUGAUGUGUUUAUAUACCCCAUUGUUCUCCGUUUUAAAGUCUACUUCAAAUUUCAGAAUCUUUUAGGCUAAUGACGGAAAUCUUCAAGUCGCAGGGCUUCUUAUUUAAAAAUUUUCCCCUGGGCAAUAAGCUUAUUCACAAGCCUCUAUGCAAUUCCGUACUGCAUUUCUAUCAUAUUCGUCAUAUUUGGCGGAAAAUGUUUCAGCAGAAUAGCUUUCAGACACAAUUUGUUAUUACAGCACAAGAAUUUUUGGAGAUUUGAUAAGUCAAAAAUGUAUGCGUAAGUCUUUUGAACGAAUUUUAACCAAAAAUCAAAAGCAAUGAUUACGUGAAAUUACACAACAAGAAGGCUAGAGGCGUUUAAAGUGUACAUAUAUUUAAUCAAGAUCUAACUUUAUAGAUAGAGCCUUAGCCAAAUGUGAAAAUAACGAAAAUAAUAAGUUCUAACACUGCAGUUUUUAUAAAUUUCAAACGUCCACCAUUUUCCAUUUUAAUUUUAAAUCCCGUUCUAAAUUUGAAUGUUUGAAAUCGUUAUUUGUAAUUCGGGGCGCAUUAGUGGUAACUAUGGCUAGUUUUAUGUAUGGGAGAAGUUUUUUUCUUACUCUCAACUUCGCGGGGGAACUUCGGCUCGAACAUCCAACCUAGGUUUGAUAUAACACAACCUGUGUGUUUGGUACCAUCAAGACAAAAAUAACACUGAUCGAGCAAAACUUAUCUUGUCUCGGUUUCUUUGUUGUCUCUGAAGAUUUGACUGCCAUAAAAAAUAUUAAUCGAGAUUCUUUUGUUAUGUUAAUUUAAAGCUUUGUAAUAUUGUCUCGUUUAAUAUGCUUAAAUGUCACUGCAGCCCACGUGAAUUUAUCUUCAAGAAAAGGUUUGUUUUUCUUUGUCCGAGUUGUUUCGAAACUUGUUAACAAUCAUUUGUUAUGAAACCAUGCACCAUCAGCAGUUUCGAAAAAUCUUCAACGAGAGAAAUUUUUAAGGAUUUUAUUGGUAACUUAACAGAGUAAUAAUUCAUUGAAAUUGAAAUUGUUCAGAAGUUAUUAUAUAUAUUCGAAUCGUGAAGUUCAUACAUAGCAUCAGUUUAAAAAAAUCCAGUUAAAGUUUUAACUAUUGUUUUAGAAUAUAUACUAUAUAUAUGUAAAAAAAAAUUAUUUUUUAUUUAUCAAGUUGUAUUUUACGCAAUAAUAAUUGAGAAUUAGGAUACUUAUGAUGUGUUUAUAUACCCCAUUGUUCUCCGUUUUAAAGUCUACUUCAAAUUUCAGAAUCUUUUAGGCUAAUGACGGAAAUCUUCAAGUCGCAGGGCUUCUUAUUUAAAAAUUUUCCCCUGGGCAAUAAGCUUAUUCACAAGCCUCUAUGCAAUUCCGUACUGCAUUUCUAUCAUAUUCGUCAUAUUUGGCGGAAAAUGUUUCAGCAGAAUAGCUUUCAGACACAAUUUGUUAUUACAGCACAAGAAUUUUUGGAGAUUUGAUAAGUCAAAAAUGUAUGCGUAAGUCUUUUGAACGAAUUUUAACCAAAAAUCAAAAGCAAUGAUUACGUGAAAUUACACAACAAGAAGGCUAGAGGCGUUUAAAGUGUACAUAUAUUUAAUCAAGAUCUAACUUUAUAGAUAGAGCCUUAGCCAAAUGUGAAAAUAACGAAAAUAAUAAGUUCUAACACUGCAGUUUUUAUAAAUUUCAAACGUCCACCAUUUUCCAUUUUAAUUUUAAAUCCCGUUCUAAAUUUGAAUGUUUGAAAUCGUUAUUUGUAAUUCGGGGCGCAUUAGUGGUAACUAUGGCUAGUUUUAUGUAUGGGAGAAGUUUUUUUCUUACUCUCAACUUCGCGGGGGAACUUCGGCUCGAACAUCCAACCUAGGUUUGAUAUAACACAACCUGUGUGUUUGGUACCAUCAAGACAAAAAUAACACUGAUCGAGCAAAACUUAUCUUGUCUCGGUUUCUUUGUUGUCUCUGAAGAUUUGACUGCCAUAAAAAAUAUUAAUCGAGAUUCUUUUGUUAUGUUAAUUUAAAGCUUUGUAAUAUUGUCUCGUUUAAUAUGCUUAAAUGUCACUGCAGCCCACGUGAAUUUAUCUUCAAGAAAAGGUUUGUUUUUCUUUGUCCGAGUUGUUUCGAAACUUGUUAACAAUCAUUUGUUAUGAAACCAUGCACCAUCAGCAGUUUCGAAAAAUCUUCAACGAGAGAAAUUUUUAAGGAUUUUAUUGGUAACUUAACAGAGUAAUAAUUCAUUGAAAUUGAAAUUGUUCAGAAGUUAUUAUAUAUAUUCGAAUCGUGAAGUUCAUACAUAGCAUCAGUUUAAAAAAAUCCAGUUAAAGUUUUAACUAUUGUUUUAGAAUAUAUACUAUAUAUAUGUAAAAAAAAAUUAUUUUUUAUUUAUCAAGUUGUAUUUUACGCAAUAAUAAUUGAGAAUUAGGAUA